GAUGAACGCUGGCGGCGUGCCUAAUACAUGCAAGUCGAGCGAACAGACGAGGAGCUUGCUCCUCUGACGUUAGCGGCGGACGGGUGAGUAACACGUGGAUAACCUACCUAUAAGACUGGGAUAACUUCGGGAAACCGGAGCUAAUACCGGAUAAUAUAUUGAACCGCAUGGUUCAAUAGUGAAAGACGGUUUUGCUGUCACUUAUAGAUGGAUCCGCGCCGCAUUAGCUAGUUGGUAAGGUAACGGCUUACCAAGGCAACGAUGCGUAGCCGACCUGAGAGGGUGAUCGGCCACACUGGAACUGAGACACGGUCCAGACGCCUACGGGAGGCAGCAGUAGGGAAUCUUCCGCAAUGGGCGAAAGCCUGACGGAGCAAAGCCGCGUGAGUGAUGAAGGUCUUCGGAUCGUAAAACUCUGUUAUUAGGGAAGAACAAAUGUGUAAGUAACUAUGCACGUCUUGACGGUACCUAAUCAGAAAGCAACGGCUAACUACGUG
rnacentral:rRNA from 1 species